rnacentral:tRNA from 1 species
AAAGCUGAUCCAUACGUGUUGCUAACACGCAAAACCCAGG